rnacentral:rRNA from 1 species
AGCAGAGAUGCUUUGGUGCCUUCGGGAACUCUGAGACAGGUGCUGCAUGGCUGUCGUCAGCUCGUGUUGUGAAAUGUUGGGUUAAGUCCCGCAACGAGCGCAACCCUUAUCCUUUGUUGCCAGCGGUUAGGCCGGGAACUCAAAGGAGACUGCCAGUGAUAAACUGGAGGAAGGUGGGGAUGACGUCAAGUCAUCAUGGCCCUUACGAGUAGGGCUACACACGUGCUACAAUGGCGCAUACAAAGAGAAGCGACCUCGCGAGAGCAAGCGGACCUCAUAAAGUGCGUCGUAGUCCGGAUUGGAGUCUGCAACUCGACUCCAUGAAGUCGGAAUCGCUAGUAAUCGUGGAUCAGAAUGCCACGGUGAAUACGUUCCCGGGCCUUGUACACACCGCCCGUCACACCAUGGGAGUGGGUUGCAAAAGAAGUAGGUAGCUUAACCUUCGGGAGGGCGCUUACCACUUUGUGAUUCAUGACUGGGGUGAAGUCGUAACAAGGUAGGCGUAGUGCU